rnacentral:rRNA from 1 species
GCUGGCGGCGUGCCUAAUACAUGCAAGUCGAGCGAACGGACGAGAAGCUUGCUUCUCUGAUGUUAGCGGCGGACGGGUGAGUAACACGUGGAUAACCUACCUAUAAGACUGGGAUAACUUCGGGAAACCGGAGCUAAUACCGGAUAAUAUUUUGAACCGCAUGGUUCAAAAGUGAAAGACGGUCUUGCUGUCACUUAUAGAUGGAUCCGCGCUGCAUUAGCUAGUUGGUAAGGUAACGGCUUACCAAGGCAACGAUGCAUAGCCGACCUGAGAGGGUGAUCGGCCACACUGGAACUGAGACACGGUCCAGACUCCUACGGGAGGCAGCAGUAGGGAAUCUUCCGCAAUGGGCGAAAGCCUGACGGAGCAACGCCGCGUGAGUGAUGAAGGUCUUCGGAUCGUAAAACUCUGUUAUUAGGGAAGAACAUAUGUGUAAGUAACUGUGCACAUCUUGACGGUACCUAAUCAGAAAGCCACGGCUAACUACGUGCCAGCAGCCGCGGUAAUACGUAGGUGGCAAGCGUUAUCCGGAAUUAUUGGGCGUAAAGCGCGCGUAGGCGGUUUUUUAAGUCUGAUGUGAAAGCCCACGGCUCAACCGUGGAGGGUCAUUGGAAACUGGAAAACUUGAGUGCAGAAGAGGAAAGUGGAAUUCCAUGUGUAGCGGUGAAAUGCGCAGAGAUAUGGAGGAACACCAGUGGCGAAGGCGACUUUCUGGUCUGUAACUGACGCUGAUGUGCGAAAGCGUGGGGAUCAAACAGGAUUAGAUACCCUGGUAGUCCACGCCGUAAACGAUGAGUGCUAAGUGUUAGGGGGUUUCCGCCCCUUAGUGCUGCAGCUAACGCAUUAAGCACUCCGCCUGGGGAGUACGACCGCAAGGUUGAAACUCAAAGGAAUUGACGGGGACCCGCACAAGCGGUGGAGCAUGUGGUUUAAUUCGAAGCAACGCGAAGAACCUUACCAAAUCUUGACAUCCUUUGACAACUCUAGAGAUAGAGCCUUCCCCUUCGGGGGACAAAGUGACAGGUGGUGCAUGGUUGUCGUCAGCUCGUGUCGUGAGAUGUUGGGUUAAGUCCCGCAACGAGCGCAACCCUUAAGCUUAGUUGCCAUCAUUAAGUUGGGCACUCUAAGUUGACUGCCGGUGACAAACCGGAGGAAGGUGGGGAUGACGUCAAAUCAUCAUGCCCCUUAUGAUUUGGGCUACACACGUGCUACAAUGGACAAUACAAAGGGCAGCGAAACCGCGAGGUCAAGCAAAUCCCAUAAAGUUGUUCUCAGUUCGGAUUGUAGUCUGCAACUCGACUACAUGAAGCUGGAAUCGCUAGUAAUCGUAGAUCAGCAUGCUACGGUGAAUACG